rnacentral:rRNA from 1 species
CACGUAGGAUGCAAGCGUUGUCCGGAUUUAUUGGGCGUAAAGAGUUCGUAGGCUGUUUGUUAAGUCUGAUGUUAAAGACUGGGGCUCAACCUCGGAAAUGCAUUGGAUACCGGCAGACUGGAGUGCAGUAGAGGCUAGUGGAAUUCCCAGUGUAGCGGUGAAAUGCGUAGAUAUUGGGAAGAACACCGGUGGCGUAGGCGACUAGCUGGGCUGUAACUGACGCUGAGGAACGAAAGCCAGGGGAGCGAAUGGG